rnacentral:rRNA from 1 species
CGAAUUGAAGCCCCAGUAAACGGCGGCCGUAACGAUAACGGUCCUAAGGUAGCGAAAUUCCUUGUCGGGUAAGUUCCGACCUGCACGAAUGGCGUAACGACUUCCCCGCUGUCUCCAGCAUAGGCUCAGCGAAAUUGAAUUCUCCGUGAAGAUGCGGAGUAUCUGCGGCUAGACGGAAAGACCCCGUGAACCUUUACUAUAGCUUGACAGUGAACUUGAAGCCUGGAUGUGUAGGAUAGGUGGGAGACUUUGAAGCGUGAACGCCAGUUUGCGUGGAGUCAUCCUUGAAAUACCACCCUUGCAUGUUUUGAGUUCUAACGCAGGUCCAUGAUCUGGAUCGCGGACACUGUCUGGUGGGUAGUUUGACUGGGGCGGUCUCCUCCCAAAGAGUAACGGAGGAGCACGAAGGUUGGCUAAGUAUGGUCGGACAUCAUACGGUUAGUGCAAUGGCAUAAGCCAGCUUAACUGCGAGACGGACGUGUCGAGCAGGUACGAAAGUAGGUCAUAGUGAU